AAACUAUCCCACACGGACUGCCCAUGACCCUGGCUCAAUCCCAAGAGCCCACCAGCCCAUCGGCACACACGGGUCACCCACAUGGCCCGGCCACUGUCCAGACCCGGCCCAACUGCCCAAGACCCGAACACUCAGUCCAGCUGAGUUGAGCUGAUCCCCAGCUGAUACAGCUGAGUGAGCUAGACCAUCCAGCUCAGGGAGCUGACCUACACUUCAGUGAGUUACACCGAGC
rnacentral:lncRNA from 1 species